GCACUUGAAGGAGUGACUUCAGGAUUGGCAUUACUAGAAGAGGCAUUUGAGAAGUUAAGCAAAGGGAAGGGAUUCUUUGGUGGAGAGACAAUUGGGUAUCUUGAUAUAGCACUUGGAUCCUGCUUAGGGUGGCUCAAAGUAACCGAAAAGCUCAGUGGCAUGUUGAUCAUGGAUGAGACUAAACUGCCCAAUAUUUAUGUUUGGGCUGAGAGGUUUUCUUCUGACCCUGCAGUGAAGGAGUUGAUGCCUGAGACUGAGAAGCUCUUGGAGUUUGCGAAGAUGUUGUUUGCCAAAAUGAGUGGUGGUGCUGCUCCUCCAAAGUGAUUUUGAUUGCUCAGGGAGAGUGUAUGUGUUCUUUGUGAUUGAGUGGUAGUCUUUCUUCACAUAAAUGUAAUUUUUUUUGCUUAAUCAAUUGCUUAAUUAAUUUUUUCCUGCAUAAUUGGGUAUGAUGGCGUCAUUCUAUACGUAUAAACUAACAUCACAAAUAAAUUCAAUGGCUAUCACCUUCCCAAAAGUCAACAUAUUAGUCAAAAUUAAGUUAACAAAUCAAACAUUUCACUAUUUCAGCGUGAAUCCUAUAUAUAUGUCCACCAUGCUCAUCUCAUUCACUUGAUCUCCAUUUCAGUUCCAACCAUCAAAACCAGAUAUUCAUCUGUGAUUCUCUUCAUCUGUGUGUAAUUUUACGUGUCAUGGCAGUAAAUGAUGUGAAAGUAUUGGGUUCAUGGUCAAGUCCCUAUGUGAUUCGAACGCGAAUAGCUCUUAAUCUCAAACAAGUUGAUUACCAGUUUCUUCAAGAAACUUUUGGAGCUGGUAAAAGUGAACUUUUGCUGAAAAGCAAUCCAGUUUAUAAGAAAAUCCCAGUUUUGAUUCAUAAUGAUAAACCUGUUUGUGAGUCUCUUAUCAUCGUUCAAUAUGUUGACGAGGUUUUUAAUGGUCCUUCUAUUUCUAUACUUCCUUCUGAUCCCUAUGAUCGUGCUCUUGCUCGCUUCUGGGCUGCCUAUGUAGAUGAUAAGGUAAUAAUGUUUUCAUACUGAAUAUUUUCCUUAUAUGAUUCGUGAUCUUAAAAUCUAUUUUUAUUGUUGUUUGGUUGCAUUUGCAGUGGUUUGCCUCAAUGCAAGGGAUUGCGGCAGGGAAAACUGACCAAGAGAAGAAAACAGCAAUGGAAGGAGUGAGUACAGGACUGGAAUUAUUGGAAGAUGCAUUUCAGAAGUUGAGCAAAGGGAAGGGAUUCUUUGGUGGAGAGACUAUUGGGUACCUCGAUAUAGCAGUUGGAUCUUGCUUGGGGUGGCUCAGGGUUGCUGAGAAGCUAAGUGGUACGACGUUUAUUGAUGAGACCAAGAUGUCAGGUCUUUAUGGAUGGGCUGAGAGGUUUUGUUCUGCUCCUGCAGUUAAGGAUUUGAUUCCUGAAACUGAGAAGCUCUUGGAGUUCAUUAAAAUGGUAUUUGCCAAAAUGAAUAGUGCUGCUCUGAAGUGAUUUUCGUCUUGUAUAUCUUGUCACUAUAAAUAAAAAUGCAGACUGUUUAGCUCAUUCCUGCAUUUACUGGCUAUUCCGCUACUCCUAUCAAUAUAGCUACUAGAGAAUUGCAUAACAAAGUUCUAAUUCUAACGUAUCAUUUGAAGGAAUAUCUAGUUGAAUCAUUCUAUAGAAAAAAAAUUCCAUAAUCAAACACUUUCCCAUGUCACUGUGUAAAUGCAAAUCUCAAAUUUGACAGACUCCCUCAGACACAGAAUAAGCUGUCAUGGUCCUGUUGCUUGACCAGGCUACUAGCAUAUGUAUCUAGCAGCAACCACUGGAUGAAAUGAUUGCAAUGCCGAUGAUAUUUGAGCACAAUGACAUCUGCACUAUAUACAUAGUAUACAUCUAACAAUGAAACCCAAAUCUUAUGAGCACAAUGACAGCUGCACUAUAUAUUGCUCUUAACCUCAAAAAGGUUCUAUGUUUACUGGGACUAAUCCCAGGGGAGGCUAGCACAAUGUCGAUGAAGCCUUCACAGGUCCAUCAUCGUUGACAACGAUGUGAGGACUAAUGAAUUCAACACAACUUAAUUUUAACAUGUAUAUGCUCAUAUCUAGUAUGAAUGGUAUAUAAUUUUGUAUGAUAUAUUGUAAUUGUGCAGUGGUUUGGUUCAUUGCAUGGGGUUGCGGCAAGGAAGACUGACAAAGAAAAGGCGACAGCAGUUGAAAGAGUGAUUUCGGGAUUGGCGCUACUAGAAGAGGCCUUUGAGAAGUUGAGCAAAGGAAAGAGGUUCUUUGGUGGAGAGACAAUUGGGUACCUUGAUAUAGCACUUGGAUCCUGCUACCCUAUGCUGUGAUGUGGGUUUUGUGGAAGACGCAUAAUGGACAUAUUUUCAGGUCAAGGAUGGUGUCGUUGGAGCGUAUGGUGGUGGAAGUCAAGGCCACGCUUUGGUAUUGGGUUGGGUGCUGGCCAGGACGGCGUUUCUAUGUCUUUCAAGAUCUGCUCUUGAACUGGUUCGAAUUGCUUAAUGGCUUGCUCGUUAAAAAUGGGUCAACUGAGAUGCAGUGAAAUAUAGCAUUGAGAUGUAUGUGGGGUUUUUCUGCUCCUGCUGGCUGUACCUGACGAUGCCUUUGGCAUGCUGAUCAGGGUGUAAUUCUUUGGUUUGUUACUUCUAAUAAAUUCCUACUUAUCAAAAAAAAAAAAAAAAAAAUAGCACUUGGAUCCUGCUUAGGGUGGCUUAGGAUGACUGAAAAGCUCAGUGGUGUGUCGUUGUUUAUUGAUGAGACUAAGUUACCUGGUAUUUAUGGGUGGGCUGAGAGGUUUUCUAGGGAUCCUGCAGUUAAGGAGUUGAUGCCUGAGACUGAGAAGCUCUUGGAGCUUGC
rnacentral:lncRNA from 1 species